AGCAAGCAAACAUCAAUAUACAUAAAAGCAAUCCUUCAUAGGGUUCUGGGGAUUAACAACUCAGGGAAGACUCUAAACUACUCAUUUGGAGAAUAUACAUUAAAAUUUAAGUUUUUUAAAAGCGGGAUGUAUACAUUUUAGAUACCCAGAUAUUAUGCCAUUAGGAAUAAUGAUCUCAAAAGUUUUUCUGAUUCCCAUUUUUUGUAUCAUUUAUCAAUUUUUGUAAGCAGUCACAUUAACUAUUUAAUUAUCCUGACACCCAAAUAUAGCAUUUUGUUAGCAAAUUAUACUGUUAUAAAACAAAAAUGAGUCUGCCUUAUCUCAAGCUAACAGGUGUCCCUGCUGCCUACAUUGACUUGGGUUAGAGUUUGUGAAUUGUCUAAAAUGCAUUGCCUUUUAAGGUUCUUAAAUUCUUUCUGCCUGAUUGUAGAAACUCAUGGGUAUCAACUUGUUAGCCAGGUUCUAGUUAAGGUAAAAGGAAUUCUGAUCAAUUUGCUUAGGAUUGUCUCCAGCUGUGCAGGUUUCCGUCCUCAGUUGAACAGAAGCUAGCCAAACUCUCCCUUAAUUGCUUGCCUCUUUUCCUUCAGCCACUGAAAUUAGGUGUGAUUGGGCCCUAACAAAUCAUGUGACACAUAUGGCUCCCAGGUUAUCUUACAUCCUUUAUUUUGUGCAUAGUAAAAACAAAGUUUAAUAAAUUAUUAAUGACCCUGGCAUCCAAAGCUUGUUCACAAUUAAGAAUAGAUACCAAGCAAUUCCCUGCCAGGGGCAUAUGCUGUACUUUUAUAAUUUUAAUUGUAUCUCUUGUUUAAAGAGGACUGUAGAUUGUCAUAAUCUUUAUCACAGUUAUCACCAGUAGCAUUUGAAGGAGAGGCGAAUAAAAGGCAGCAAAUGGGGCUUUUGUCACCUGCUGUGGUGCCCGUGCACAUUUUCUGUAUUAUGCAUUAAGGCUGAAUUUCUAGUAGUGAGUGAAGGAGUCCCACGGAGCAUAAUCAGCACCAAAAUAUUGCUUCCUAAAUAGAUGCUGACUCCCUGCUCUCCUUUUUGGCUGAAUGGUGCUAAAAUCCAUCCAGGGACUUUAGUCUGGCCUUUGUAACCUGCUUAUGGCUCUAUUAAAUGCCUGGAGAGUUACGGAUAAUAUGGAGAAAGUAAUAUGUUAUAACAAGCAAUGGACUGUCAGUUUUCUAGAAUGGCUAUGAGGUACCCUGGUAAGCAUCAUUUCUGAGGGAAGAAAAGGCAAUGAAAUCUGAGGUCUGAUUAAGUAGCUUUCUAGGUUCAUACACCUUUUUCCUAAAAGAGAUCAAGGGCAGGUCCUUUCUUUCACCCUCCUGCUCUAUUUUCUGAAGCUGGCAAGCUAAGGUAUAGAAAGGAUUUUAGUUUGAGAGCAUGACAGGCCUGAGUUUGAAUCCUGACUACUGCUUACUAGCAAUGUGGGUCACUCAGUUACCUUAUUUGAUCUCCAGUUUUCUAAUCUGUAACACGGAGAUUGUGAUAUCCAUGUCUUAGCAUCAUUAUAUCACAUACUAUGAUAGAUGUAAAGUUCUGUGUUGUUUCAGUCAGAGUCAGUCAUUGGUAACAAUCAUUAAUUCUCUGCAAAUAUGAAUUGAUGUGAUUGGAAGCAUGCAUGAAUGUCCCAUUUUCUUUCUCAGAUAGGGAGCCUGUUUGGAUAAAGUUCAAGCUUCUCAGUCUGCCUUAUAGUGAUGCACUGUCUGGGGCCUUUUGUGCGUUUUGCUCUUCCACUUCCACCACUGUCCCUUCCUCAACUCUGUGUCCCAGACAGCCCUUUCCUGUUUUUACUGUGCCUUUACACAUGCAGUUUCUCUGUGUAGAACAUUCUCCUCUCUCUGCUUCCUCCUUUCUGCUUCCCCUGGCUAAUCCCUCCUCCAUCGGGCUUUCCUUCACUCAUCCCUUCCUCUGAAGGCCUCCUCCCAUCUGGUACUACCCUCCCUUAGCUUCUUAUUAUGGCCCUUCACAAACAAAUUAUUGCUAAUUUCCUGUUUGCUCACCUUGUAGCCACAAGACCAACAGCUCUGUGAGGAGCUGUACCUCACUGUCUUGAUUCCUAGACAUUGACACAAAGCUAUGUAAAAAAGAUUUGUGAUAAUGAAUGGAAUAAUUAAUUAGUAAAUUAGUGAGUAGCUGGAAGUAAAUAACAUCAUUUAAGGAAAAGUCUAAAUCCUUGAUUCUGAAAAAUUAGUGAGCAAAGUAAUAGAUCCUAAUGAAUUCAUUUCAGCUCUGGCAUGAGUUUUAGCAGGAAAUAAGAUCUGGAUAACUGAUUUUUAAAGUCUAUCAGAGAUCUAAGUAGACUGUCCCAAAUAUAGCAUAAGCCAAAACUUUAGAAAUGCCAUUUCUUAUAUUGCUUUGUAUCACUUAAGAGUUGUUAUCUGAGUACUUUGUACACAAUGGACAUUUCAGAGAUAUUUAUCUCAUUGCAUUGAUCUAAGAGGAAAUGAGUUCUUAUUUUGCCUUCAGAAAGGUAUUGAUAAAAUAAUUGAUGUCAACUGGAGUUAGACUGUUUGGAUCUUUUCUCAGACUAGUGGUGAUAGUUUCUGCUUAUUCUGAAGCAUAAAUAUAUAAGCCCUUUUCAUCACUGCUAUUUCCUUAACAUCAUAUUUGUUGAAUCCGUGUGUCAUUUCACAAAUGUGUAAUUCAUUCCUUGCUGUCUAAAAUAGCCAAACUUUAGAAAUAGAAAGUCUUAUUACAGCAGUGUUUCAUAAGAUUAUUCCCCAAAGUCCUCUCCAUAUCAAAUGAAAGGGGAACAAAUACAGAUGGGCAGAUGGAGACAGGGAGAAAUUAGAGAGGAGCUAUCUAGGGAUAUCCCCUAAGUAGUCUACAGCAAACUCACAUUCCUAUGUUUUAUACUUGAAAUCUAUUUUAAUGUUGCAUUAUUCUUCAUAAGAUAUUGCCUUUUGUAUUUAUCCCAAAACUUUGACUGUAGUAGGAGCUCCAAGAAUUUUCUUCAUGCUGAUUUUACAAAUUUGCAAAUACCUUGUGCUUAUUAGUUGGAAAAUACAGAAUUAAGAGAAUUCGAUGAAGAGUUUACUAUGAAUUGUGUGAGUCUCUAAUAACAGAGAGAUGAAAAGUCAGAAUAUUAUUUGGUUACAAAAAUUACCCCUCAAAGAAUCCAAACUCAGACCAAAUACAGGUGGAUUUUAGUACACAAGAUCCAUGGGAUCCCAGGCAGCCUGAUUCAAUUCAGUUCCACAGUUUAUUUUUCUUUUAAUAUGUGAAGAAAAAAUGAGGUUCUGCUGGAAACCACCAUCCUCUGAUCAACUAUUAUGGAAGCCAUUACCAAAAUAAGAAAUGCAAUUUGAAAUAUACCACUGAGUUUUAUAGGCAUAGGACUGGUAUUGAUUCCAUUCACAAGUAUCUUUUGUAAGAAGGAGAAAUCUGUUGGCCAUUUAGGGAUAAGAAUGGCUUUACUGAAUUUCUACUAAGAGGAGAUGAGUCCCAAUUCCAGGCCAAGUCCCGUUUUGGGGAAUUGCAUUCCACAGACCUAAAUGCUGCAAGGAGCUCCAUGGAGAUUCUGCAUCCUCCCUCAUGUUUGGUCCCCUUGCAGAGUGCUGCUGACAGCUGUUGGACAGCUGAAGCAAUUCACCUCCAAAGUUGCAUAAUUUGGAAAGUGCUUUGGGAUCCAUUCAGUUGAAAGGUUGUUAAUUAUGAUGAUUUAUGACACUGGAAACAAAUCUGGACCCUGACAGUAUGGAGAAUAUACUUAAUGUAUAAUUCUUUAGCCUGUCCCAUUGGAAAGUCCCUAAGUACAUGAAAAAAAUUGAUCUUAUUGUGCCUUAUGAAUAGGGUCCACAGUUGUGUAAAACAAAAUAUCAUUGACCUUUUGAGUUAGGGUGAUAACAAGAAUAACAUCUGGAGAUUGAUGGGUAAUACCUAAUGGCAUCUUGUAAUGAUCUCAAUUUACGGUGUUUUCCCCCACCUGGUCUUCGAGGUUGGACUCCUUGACUCUUCCUCUCCCUCACUGCAUACAUCACUGAUCACCAGGCCAUUCUGAGCCACCCAAAUCUGACUUCUCACCUCUGCUGCUCAGGUUUUAUCACCCCUUCGCUGGGGCCUACCUUUCACUGUUGAUCCAUAUUCAAACCUGACCUUCACAUUGUUUCCAGGGUCAUGUUCCUCAAACAAGUGAAAUAACGCAAAAGACUGAGUGUUUCACUUACUCCCAUUCCUGAAAGCAUCCUGUAAAACCAUCUAAGUUCCUUUGGAACAGUGCACACAGACUUUCUUGGGCUCAGGUCUCUACUGCCUACCUCAUAACCAUUGCCUGUCAUGCACCCUCUGCUACUGCCACAGUGAGCUUCUCACCCUUACUUCAAAUAUUCCACCCCUUUCUCAAAUUCAAGGAGCCUUCGAUGGUAGAUAUCCACCUCCUGCAGAGUCCUCUCUCACCUCUUCUUCUUGGCAAAUAUCUCCUCAUCCAAUACUCCUCAAAUUCACCUACUCUGCCCAGUUCUCCCAAGUAGACUUAAGGUGAUUGUGGCAUUUAUAAUGGUGUGUGACAUUGUUCUGUUUUCAUAUCUGUUUCCCUAGACUGCAGUUUAGAAAGGUUAGGACUAUGAUUUAUCCACUUUAGCUUUUUUGGUGAACAAAGUUGGUACUAAUAAAGGAACUGAUGACUGUUAGGGCCAGAACUGCCAAUAACCUGGUUUUAGGUUAUAGAUAUUGAAAAGGGUAUAAAUCUACUACUAACUGAGUAUUUCAAUGGAAUUAUCAUAUUCACCUGAAAAAUAACUCUAAACAUCUAAUUAUUCAUACAUGUAUCUAUUUAUUUAUGACCUGAUGUUAUGGUAUAAACAAGUAGUAAAUGCCUUGACCAAAUCUUUAAAUUCCUUAACCAAAAUUCUUGGAAAUAGAUGUGUUUCAGAAUUCAGAAAUCUUUUUAUUUUACAAAAGUAAUAUGGUAUGGGGCAGGGGAUUUGGUUCAGUGGCUCCACUGCCUGACUCGCAGGCACAAGGUCCUGAUUUCGAUCCCUGGUACCAAAAAAAAAAAAAAAAGUAAUAUGGUACACCUACCAUGUAUGUUACAAAACACCCCAGUAGGGUGUGGGGCAGCAUCCCAUAAUCAAACAUAGUGAUGGUGCUGCUGCCAGGCACAAAAAUACUCAUAUUGAAUGGGGUAAAGAUGAAAAAUAGCCUGACUUUUUAGGUAAGGUUUUGCUACCAAUGAAUUUGCCACAAACUUAAGGGAAUAUCAUGGUUUGGGGAUUGAGCAUUUAGAUUUAAGAAUUUUGAAAAGGAAUAGAGGCCUAUAUAUGUACCAUAUCUGUUUAUUUGUUUAUUGUUCUUCUCCUCACUGAACAUGUGAUCUCAGUGGGACCCUAACUUUGUUCAUCACCAGUAGCAGACCUGUGUAUGACAUUUAGUAUAUGCCCAAUAAAUUUUUUGUGGAUGAAUAAAUAGAUAAAUGAAUUAAACUAAGGUCUGGCUUACUGUAGACACAAUUUGAAUAAUCGAGACUGUUAUGUUUUUCUAAGCAUUUUUUUUCUCAGACUAUGAAUCCUUAUGAGUCAGGGAUACUUUAUUUUGAUAACAUCUUGCUCUUUGAUGCUUUAUAUGGAGUUAGCAUGUGCUGUCUACAUAUAAGGAAUUAUAAAGUUAUUUUACAACUAGAAAAUAGCAAUUCAAAUUGAGAAAAUUAAAGUUCCUUUUAGAAAGUUCACCAAGUUGCAAGGUAGAGUAAUGUGGUUUGGGGGUUUAAAUGUAAACAUUAUCAGUCACUCUUCACUAGAGCCCUGGGUAUAAAGGAGCAAAUAAAUACCCUAAUCACCAUGUUUUAGAAAUAUAUUGCCUUACACUCCAGUUUACUAUCCAUGUCCAGGGCUGAACUAUAAACUUUUAUUUCCCUCCAACAAACCCCCAAACAUUUAUCGCAUUAAAAAUGAAUCAUCUGUUAUACUCCAACCAUAAACUGAAUAGUAAAAAGAGGCAGGAAUUAUGAUCUCUGGAAAACUGGAGAAGCGCUAGUGUGUGAUCGCAAUGUCCCACUCCAUAAAUCUUCAAAUUCGUAUUUACAUUGAAUCCCCAGACUUGCCUGUCAAGAGAAUGUCCAAAAUUCCAGAUAAUUGUUUUACAAGAAUAAGUGGAAGCCAAUAGCAAGUCCUUUUUGUUAAGAAAUUGAGGCAAAUAGGAUGAUUGGACUAUCAAUUGGGUCAUAUUCUUCUGUAAAAUUUUCAUUUGAAAUAGUUCAGUUUGAGGCUUUUUUCAAUGUGAGAAAGUUCUCUGCAUUCCUGAAAAUCCCACUGGCUCAUACAUACCUUGGCACAUUUCAGACUUCUGCUGUGAGUAAGCAAGAAUUUUAGGUUUAUGGUUUGACUUAUGGCAUAUCUAAUUCCAUGUACUAGGUUACUGGGAUGUAAUUUCUACUGUAUUUUUAAAUGGAUGUCAAGGGUGUAAGGUGUGCAUCUAUCUGCAUGGAAAUAACAUUUGUUACUGAUCAUUUUCUAUUUGAUUUUUCCAUGUGCUCCAAAAAUAAUACUGUUUUCCAAAAACCCAUCCAUUCCUAUCUUGCUCUUCUAAGCAAUGUUUCCUUGUAGAAUUAAUAUAAAAUACCUCCACCCUUGGUUCUCUGGGAGAUGUGAAUUUUUCCGUGGUCAAUUUUAGCUAAACUGUCAUCCUGCCUGUUGUGUAUGUGCCCCUAGAAGGACAGAUAAGCUAUGUGCAGCCUGGCUUUAUGCUACGUUACAUGAUUCCAACAGGUCAAUUCUGACAUGGUGUUGAAUGAAAGUUCCUUUUUCAGAUAAUUAAUGAAAUGGAGCACAAAGCAUGCCAUCACCUAAUAAAAACAUCAGCUUGAGAGAAAUGUUUACUGCCCUUUUCAGAAUCUUCCCCUUGGAUUUUGACAUAUGGAAUAUAACAUUUCAUGUACAACUCUGGCUUCCCAUGAUGCUUGCUUGCUGUGUCCCUGCUAAAGAAGAGAUUCUGUAAGGAAACUGUUAGCCCUUGCCCAGUCUCUCAUGCUCAUGACUCAAAAUGACUAGCAUUCAUUAAACUUUAUUACUGAGCUGCUUGAAGUUUCUUUGGACCAGGAGAUGCUGUGAUCCUCUGACCAGAUUCUCAAAUGGAGCUGAAGUUUUUCAUUAACCUGGAAGCCUUCUAUUUACAUGGUUCACAGCCUGGCCUCACCUCACUUGGAGGUAACAAAGGGUAUCAGGGCAGGAGGGUAUUGGGGUCCCACUCUUCUAAGGCUUCCAUCUAACUGAUCAGGUCGACGUUUUAACUUUGCUUCAUUAGGUAAAAUAAAAUGGAAAUGAUUGGGAGCCCUGGAAUCCCUUUUCAGGUUCAUCAUCAUCUCUUUCUCACACCUUCUCUAAAUAACAUGGCUUUAUGUGACCUAGUUUGCUAGGGUCUCCCCUUGCAUGCAGCUGGCAUUGCCAAUAGUCACUUGUUCCCUAGCAAGGACACUUGGAACAGUGAGUGAUGUCAAGCUAGUGUGGUACCAGGAGCAAGACCAAAUUGUCCAACAGUUUUACUUUUUAUUUCUCUGAUUAAAGGAGAGCUGCAAAAUAAGUCCCAUGUAUUUGUAAGGUGUGUCCAAACGAUGAAUGCUGAGUAAAUUGCAAUUAACCUGAUCAAUGCUGAAAUGGCAUGCUGACUUCUUUAGUACUAGGGAGCAUUAAAAUCUGGAUGUUUGUCCAUCUAAAAUAGGACAGGCAGAAAUUGUGUGUCUGCAAAUAUGAUGCACUGAAAAGCACACAACAUCAUCUAUGGAGUAUUUUGUGUCAAAAAUAUUUGUCUUGGGCAUGAAGAAUUGUAGGAACCAAUUAGUUAAAUUCAGAUUGAGGGAUACUGAUCUGUACUCUUUAAAAAGAUCAAUGUCUCAAAAGACAAGUCGAGGCUGAGUAGCUCUCAAGACUAAGACAGUGAUGGUGAACAUUUUAGAGCUUUCAGUAAUACCAAACAGCCAGCUGUGGCACACAUAGCAUAGGCUCACUACCACUGGAUUAAGAGGUAAGUGCCAAUAUGUGGCACUGGUGCAAAAAAAAAUUACAAAGGAUGUUUUGGGAACCCUUACAGAAAUAUGAAUGUUGAUUGAAUAUUAGAUAACAUUAUUGUGCCAAUGUUAAAUUUUGUGAGUGAAAUAAUGGCAUUUGGUUUUGUUAGAUGUUCUUAUUCUUAAAAUAUAUAUGCUGAAGUGCUGAAGUAUUUAACGAAGGAGUUCCGUGAUGUCUUCAACUUAGUAUCAUGUGAUUCAGCAAGAUAUUCUUAUCUCUUGAUAACACACAUAUAGAUUAAGAAAGAAUGAGAGAAAGUAUGUGUGGCAAAGUAUUAAAAAUUGGUGACUCUAGAUGAGUUGUACAGAUGAGAUUUGUAAUACUUACCUUAUAGGACUGUUUUAAUAACUAAAUAAAAAUAAUGUACAUGAGGUGAAUAGUACCUGACUAGCUUAGUGGGUGGUAGCUGCUGUUGCAGGUGUCAACACUAAAGUCCUAAUCUUAGACCUCAUCUUCCUCAGGCCGGCCAUGGAAUUUCCAUCAUAUUAUAUCCUAACUUGACUCUGAAUUUCCCCUUGCAAAUUUUUGUAUAAUAUUAGCCAGGCCACAGCCCACAUGGUGCCAAAGAUGUCACCUGGCAAUUUCUUCUUGUUUGAUAUCCAGGAGUCAUCUCCCUCUGGCAAAACUGAGAAUAAUGAAUCCUUGUUCCUCUGUCGCCCAUCCCCACACUUUCCUGCCUACCCCAGCCCAGGUUUCUACUUCUGAAGCACCAAGAUGUAGAUACCAUGUGGAUGCUUCCCUUGAUUUACCAUGUCUUUUGAUCCAUUUUUCAGACUUUAUCUGCUUUAAUUUUUUUCCUGCUUGUACUAAAGACUACAAUUUCUCUUUAUGUUACCUUCUAAUCAAACCUCUUUUUUAUUGGCACCAAUGUGAACUAGAAAUUGUGUUUAGCUGCAACUAAUAGAGAUCUCCCCCCCAAAAUAAACUAGGAAGAUAAUCUGAGAGCCAAGUUCCUUCAGAUUUAUGGUUUUUCUAUCGCUUGUGGCUUGCAGCCUUUUGCAGUGUCACUUCAUAAUACAAAAUGGCUGCCAGAACUCCACCUACACAUCUAGUUUCCAAGCAGGAAGUAGAGAGAAGGCUGGAAAGCAAAAAAGAAUUUGCUUCCCAGCUGAGUCAGCCACUUUAAAGUAAUCUCUUAGUAACCUCACCUGCCACAACCUCACUAAACUACAAAAAAAUGGUUGAGAAUGUAGUCUUUGUCUUGGGUAUUUGUUGCCCCCCAAAAAUGUUAGGGAAUUGGUUAAAAAAAAGAAAGAAGAAAGAAUACUAGAAAAGCAACUGAUAAUCUGUUGAGCCUGCAUCUGUUAAUAUAUCACUGAGUCAAAUAACUAUUGAACACAGACUCUGGGCUGAGGAAGAAUACAUUUAAAACUGUCUACCAUGAUACCUCAUUCCCUUGGAGUUUACUGUUUACUUAAGGAGGCAAAAUACUGUAUAUAGAAAAUGUAGAUGAGAAAUUGGUGCUAAUAGAAGUGGAACUCAGAAAAAAAAGAUAACAAAAAAUCCACAGAUAAUGUUUCUGACUUAGUAGAUUUUGGUAAAAAUUUUGAUAAUUUUCCAGUGGGAGAAAGAGUAAAAGUAAAGCAGAGGGGAAGAAAUGAGCAGGGUAGUCUGAAUUGAGUACUUGGUCCACUUCCCUGGACAGAGAGUCUGGUUUAUAGAAAAGCAGGAGCUAGAACAAUAGGUGGAAUAGGGAGGGACUGUGGGGGAAUUGAACUUAGGACACAUGUUUGGCUCUGAUGGAUUUGGCCAGUGGUAGCAGACCUACAGCACGCAUGCCGCAGUAGGCUGUUUGUAACAUUGAAAGCUCUAAAUGGUUUGCCAUCACUAACCUAGGCAAGAGUGAACCAUUGUGAGUUAUUGGGCUGGGUAUUAGUAGGGGAAAGUGACAUUUCAAGUAAGUCCUCGGUAGCAAAUAGGAGUAAAUAAACAGGCUGGAGUUAAUCAAUAAGUACACUAGUAUAGACCUUGUGCUGAGAAGUCAGUAGAAAUGGAGAGGAAAUGUCAAAUCUGAAGGAUAUUUGAAAGAAUGAGAAAUGAUGAUCAGGGAAUGGAAGGGAAAAGGAAAAAUAUAACAUGAUUCUGAGGUUUCCAGGGUGAGGGAAUGGUGGAGCCUAUACCCCAAGUGAUAGUGGUGAAUUCUGGAGGACUUUCUUUGAAUGUUUGAGGAAGAAUGCUCAAGAGUAGAUAGUAUCAAUAUAACAAAAGCUGUAAUUUUUACAGAUUCAAAAGCCCUGAACUUACCUAUUUCUGUUGUUGAGACCUGUAUCACGUCUUUGUGUUUAGCAGUAAGUAUUUUCCAGUCAGAACAUACCAGUAUAUCUUUUUAAAGACGGCUAAUUAUACCCUGUAUAUCUUUUUAAAGAAGGCUAAUGUCUUCAUGAGGGAAACACUGAUAUUUUUAAGUAUUUCUGUGCUACAUAUAAUAGACCAACUAAGGGCAUGUUGAUAGUUUGAUUAUAUUUCAAGAAACUCAAAGCUAAUUGUGUUGAUUCUUCAUGAAAGGAGAAAAGGAAAUUUCAUUUACUCAAAGUUCCUGAAAGGAAAAUAAUUAACAUCUAUUUAGUGCCUGCUUUAUGUCAAACAUAUUGCCAUUCCAUAUUUUCAGUGUGUUCUCCAGUACUCUUAUUUUUAGAGUGGGCCAGCAUUCUCAUUACACAGCUAAGUGGUGCAACCAGCAUUCAAACCCCAAAUAGAGACAUCAAAGCUGCUCUUCUUUUCUGUACCACACCACUAGUUUUCUUAGUUCCUUGUCCUUUCUGCCUCAUCCACUAUCAGGACUAUUAAAAAAGUAUUCCUGUACAAUAAUUUGGAAGGCACAGCUCACUGAAAGUUAAAAACACUUUCAGAAACUUGUGUGUUAUGUAAAUCUAUUUUAUAAUAUUAAAUGGAAAACUUUCAGAUAGCAACGUUAGGUUGUUCAAAGCCUAAUCUAAGGAAAUUGAUGCUAUCAAGCCAUUUGAAGAACAAUAAAUCUUUAAGAAAGUUUAUACAAGUAAAAUCUUUCCAGAACAAACUAAUUCUUCUGUUGUCAUUAGUUAGGCUAGCAAGAAAUUUUCUCAGGUUACCCAUUGGAAAACUGAUUUUAUUUUUCUAAAUGAUGUUAAGAACACUGAGACUUUGGGAAGACAAAAGAUAACACCAAGUAGGGAUAACAUACAGUUAUUUUUCUUCAGAAACAACUUCAUUCCAAAGGAUAAAGACAAAUAUAAUUGUGGUUGAAACAAACUUUUCAUUUUGUCAUUCAUUGGAAAAGUUUUUUAAUCACAUUAAAAGGUUUAACUUUCAUGGAUUUUCCCCAAUAACAUCUUUGAUUUUAAGAAAUGAUAAUGAUAAUACUUACUCUUUCUUUAAAAAAAUAUUGCUUUUCUUUUAUGAGUUCAGUUCUAUUCGAAGAUAUGACCAAGAAGCUGAUCAAAGAAUGCUCUUGUGGAGUUAUUUCUGUGAGCCUAUGCAUCCUUUUGGAAGCUGCCUUCUUGCUGCUGCCAUGGGAAAGCUUAGAGCUUGAGUCGUCUCUGGUCCUCGUGUCGUGGUCCCUUCCUCACUACCUUUUGACCGUCUCCAGAAGUGACCUAGAUCCUUCUCAAUCUCCACGGCAAACUUUGUUACACUGCCACCUUUUUUUCCAGUUGUAUUUGUCACCAUUUGGCUGGAUUUAAUGACAGCAGGAGAAUUGGUUUCCAGUAGAUCAGAUUAAUGUUUUAGAGCUAAAAAAUGUCAUGUGUUACAGGGUGUCCUUUCACUAAACUGAACUAUAGGAAAGUUAAUUUAGUUCCCUUUGGCUGAUAUUUAAGUUAUGGAGGUGAUUUGCUGUCCAAAACAAAGUCCACAUAAAUGUUCUUUCUGGUCCCAGUUCUGUGUCCCUUGGGAACAAUGUCUGCCUUAUAUCUACUGAUACUGGAUGGCUGUUCAUCAAACUCUCCCUUGUGCAGACAAAUGCAAAUGUUGUUGCUGAAAUUUGGUUUGAGACAUGAGUUAAUUGUACUAAUACUACGAGGAUUUGUAAUACAAUUUGUCAAUGUAAUUUCCUUGAGUUCUUCUCAUGGUUGACUGUGAAUGCAUUUUAAUUAAGGUUGAAUAACCUUCACAUGGAAAAUGCUAAAUAAUUAUAAGUGAUCUUGGAUAACCUUCUAGCUACUCCUUUAAAAGAAGCAUCAAAUAAAACAUAGUAAAUAUAGUAUUUAGAGUAAUUAUGUAGAUUAAAGAACUUCAUCCAGCUGAAUGCUUCUUGGCAGAUUGUAGAAUGCAUACUCAACAUCAAGUGGAAUGUUGAACAUGGUAAUGAUACUAACCUUGUAACAACUUGAAAUUUCCAUUAAGAGGCCAGUAGAUGAACUGGCUAAUGUACUAAACCAAUUAAAAUCUUUAUUAAAAGGGAAAAGUGUGUUUCUUAGAGAAACCACUAAGAAGCGAAUAAGACUUCCCAUUGAAUAGUCUAAAGAUAGGCACCAUGCUUUCAUAUUAUCAUGAAUAGGAAUGUUAGCAAAUGUGCCAAAUAACAUGUCCCUGAUAAUGAAGCCUAGACUUCCAGAUGAUCUUUUCCCAUCUUCCAGCCUCCCUGAAAUUUACAUUUUCCUAUCUCUAAAAUUGAUUUUCUGUCAACCAGGCCAUCUUUCUGGCUAGACUCAGUUACCAUAUCCUGUCCUGUUCACCUCGCCACAUUGCCUCAAAUAGGCUACAGCUCCAUAGGAAAGGACCAUGUGGUCAUGCUCCAGAAGUCCAUACUACAAUCCCAAUUUAUUUAGCAAAAGGUACACAAUCUUAGUAGAAGCAAGGUGGCCACCCAAAGGCUUAGCAUGUCCCCUUGUGGUUACCCAAAGAUCCCAUCAGGGCUAUGCAGCUGCCAGUACUGGUAUUUGAGAAAGUGCUUUGUGCUGUACUAUAGCUCUUUCGUAAUAUGUACUUAUUCCAGUCUUCUAGGAAGCGGCCAGUCUUUCCAGACAUCUGGACUCCUCUGUUCUCCAGCUGAACUCCACAUCAGUGGGCCCAUAGCCUCACUCAGAGGAGAGCAGAACAAGGGCUGUGGAAGCUGUGAUCACUUUACCAACCAUUUGCCAUCCUGUGUUCUUACAUUCUACUUCCUGACCCUAACUUAAUUCUCUUCAAGACUGACCUGGGUGUUUCUGGUACCAGAUUCAAGGACCAUGACCAUUUGUUGAUGUUAGCCUUCUUCAGGAAAGUCUGUAGCAAACCUGUAUCUUUACUCUGUUCCACGAAUUCUGGGUUAAUGGAACUCUUGGUUCCUCAUACUUACUGGUAGUGUAGCCCUGGAGCCCAUCCACAGGCCCCGCUCCCUGAAACAGAGUGGAAAGAUAUUAGUGAACAGUAGAUCACAGGACUGAGGGUUUAUUUGCUGGAGAAAUUGGAGGGACGAGACAGAAACAAGUCCAAAUUUGAGAUGAUGAAAGAGGAAAGUCUUCCAGUAUGGAGAUGUCACUGUGUGGGAGUGCAGUGUGCAGGUACAAGUGACUGGAACCAAGGAGCUGUGGGGCCAGGGUGUCUGUGCCACCUCUCUGACCCUACACAGGCCUGCCCUGCUUACUCCAGCUCUCAGCCCUGCUCACUAACCCUGUGUUAUCCACUGGCCUUGGCCCCACACCCCUGACCCCUCACAGCAUCACCAGGCUUUCAACCUUUGUGGCCUAGGGGGAUUUGUGCCACCCAAGGCCUCUCCCUUGCUCUCUACAGUAGGGCGGUAAUGGUAACUGUAAAUUCACCACCAAAUGUGAGGUGUGAAACUUCCUCUUUUCUUGGUCUUCCACUGCUCCCUCAUCCUGCAUGUGCCUCAGGCUUUUAGAACUCUCAUCCCUCAAUUUACUGUGGGAGUCUUCCACUCCUUCUGACUUCAUGAAGCUCUCAAUCUGGACUCCCAUAGUCAGCCAUUUCAGUCACAUAUAACUCCUGCUCCAUGUUCUCUGGUCCUGCUUGCAACUCAGCCAAACCUCUCACUGACUGUUUUUUGAGGACCCACUUUACUCCCAACCCCAGAGCAGCUCUUCUGGGCUGCCUCCCGCUGCACAGGCCUCCAGUCCCAAACCUUCCAUGUCUCUGCUGAUGAACCUGUUUUCCUCUCUCUGAAGGAUAUCGAAAACACCUGACAUGAUUUCCUACAUAAUUCCUCCUCUCCUUUUUUCUCUAAAGAAGAGGAAUUAGUCCUUCCUAAUCCUACUUUCUCUCCUUUCUUUUACUGCUUCAAUUUUCCCCCUUUCAACCAAUUUUCACAUCUAACUACAAAUAUGCUUGCCUCUACAGUCUUUAAAGCAAAAAACUUUUGUAUUAACUGCCUUGGUAGAUUGUUCUGUCUCUCUUUUUCUUAAUCACCAAACUUUUUGAUGAAGAAUAUUACAUUUACUCUUACAUCCAUUUUUCUGCCGCCUGCUUGUUUUCUUUCCCAGAUGCACUCGUGCUCAGCUCUACCAUCCCACUAAAACUGCCUUCUCCAACAUGGGCUCUUGGAGCACUUCCAUGCUGCAGAACCCAGAAGUACAAGCUCAGCCCUCCCCAUAUUUACCACAUGAUCUUUCAUAUUACCUUUCAACAUGCUUAUGUUUGGGAGCUGCAGGGUUCCACCGCUGGGAUAAAAUGCCCAACAUUUGCAACUUAAAGAAGGAGUGGUUUUAUUUGGCUCACAGUUUUAGAGGUUAUAGUCUGUGGUUGACUGGCUCCAAUGCAGAAACAUGGUGGAAGCAUGUAGUGGAGCAAAGGUUUCAGUUCAUGGUAGCCCAGAAGCAGAGCACAGUGGAAGAGUGUCAGUGAAAUACAUGUGCUCCAAAGAGACGCCCCAGGUGACCCAGCUCCACCUGGCCCAACCUACCAACAGAACAUUUAGCUGUGAACCUAAGUGGGUUAAUCCACUGAUGCACAUAGUGCAGCCAUGAUCCAGUCACCUUUCCAUGGGGUCUCGAUCCAGUCAAGCAGACAAUUAAGAUUAAUGGGCACAAGCUUCUAUUAGUCUGGGAGCAUAUAUAAAAUCCAACAACAUUAUUACAGAUCUGGCUCUGCAACCACUGACAGGUUAGAAUAUGAAUUUAUAGAAGCAUUAUCUACCAUUCACAGAAAGUAUUUUGCAUAGAAGUACACCGACUUCUUUGAACCAACUUGGGCUGUAGCAAAUGCAAUGAUGUCCUAAAUAGUACACAUUUCCCCCAUCUGUUGCUCAUUAGCAGGUUGCAGAAAUAGCAAUUCUCAGUGUGGCAGCAGUUGAUCCAUUCGAGAACAGAACAGUUUCUUAAUAAGAACACUCCUUAUUCAUAUUAAACACUCUUAAAUUAUAACUUCCUAGAUAACAAGACUCAUGCAUUCUGCAUACCCAUUAGAUUUUAACUAUCCACUAUGUGAAGAUACUUGAAAUUUGCAUUAAGGGGCUCUAAACAGCUCUAAUGUAAGACUGUAGGGGGGAUCCCAAAAGAUGUUAAAAUGAACUCCCUGUCCUCAGGGAGCAUACGGUCAAGUCAUAGAACUAAGACAAGAACCUGGAGACCAUAAUUGAAGGCAGAACAUGGGCAGGGAGGACCCAUCUCAAAGGAGGGGCUCCACUCUACACCCAAGUAGGAGAACCUGGUCCUCUAAGAUUUAGACUGGGGAAAAGCCAGCAGAUUUGACAUCUAUGAACAUACCUUUUAUUUAAGAAAAGCUCUGCUGAGGAAAAUAAAAUCUUUUUAUCUGAACUAUCAGAAAUCUUCUGAACAUGUUACAUUUUUUACAAAUGCUAAGUCAUUAUGUAGACCAUGGUGUAUAUAUUAAAAAAGGGUCAUUUGUGGUUUUUAGAGUACCUUACUAUGGGCUGAAUAUUUGUGUUAAGGCUUUCCUACCUCUUGGCGUUGUGUCCAUUUAGAGGUUUUAUGACCGAAGAAAGAUUUUCGUAGAGAGGCAGGGGCCCUGUGGAGAUAAAAUGCCUUGUGUUUCCCUGCAGGCAGUCUAGCUCUGUCAGCCGAGUUUAACAGCCAUUCAUACACUGAGAAGAUCUUAUCUUGUGUCCUAUUGGUUUGGGGUCAUUUUCUGGCUCACAUUAUAUUGAAACAUGGGCAGAGAGAGGGAGUAAUUUGUUAAUGUCAUGUAGGAUGAACUUGGUUGGGAAGGGAAGUGUACCCACUUUAUAAUAACACAAGUAUUUCCUUGCUAAUCCCUUGGCAGGUUCAUUAUCUGUACAGCCCCGGGCAAUGGUUAGCCUAUGGUGAAAGUGAAAUUUAACCCUCAGUGUGAAAUUAAUCCUCAAAGACUUAUGUCUGCUUGGUCUAGAAGUAAUACAUUCUAAAUGAUUUUAUAAUCCCUGACUCUUUCUUUAUGCAAAGGUGCUAAAUUGUUAUUGAGAUGUUAUAGAGCAUGCUAGGAAAUUUAUUUUCCUUUACUUAAGAAAACUGAACAAAUCUAUGAGAAUAAAAAGUCUGAUUUUCCAGUUCAGUUUUACAGUCGAAAACCUGACCUGGUUCGAUAUCUCUUUUUAAAGCUUUUAGAAGGUGAUCAUACUCAUGGUUGUGCUGUGCUACAUCGAAUACAGAUGGAAAAAUAAUUUUUUUUUAAAAUGUCACUUGACAAGGAGACUCUUUUGCUCAGCUUCUUGACAUUUGACAUAGAAAAACUGGGAAACACCAGGAACACACCAUUCAAUAGUGAAGAAUGGUUCCUUGUAGAGUCAGGGAACCUUUAGCAAGGGUUUAAGAGUAAAAGGAAGUAAAACUGUGUUCAUUUUCCUGCUUUAUAAGAUAGUGCUUUCUUCUUAGCCUUUUCUUGUAGCUUUCUUUCCAAGGUGUAUGGGCAGUUAGGGAGGGAGAGGAAGGAGAGCUUAGAAUUGAGAAGAGGGUGGAAGGGAGCCAAUAUUUACUGAGAAAUAAUGAUACCAAGCAUUUUACUCACAUUGUCUUAUUUAAUCUUCACUGUAAAUGGCAGAGAAUAUAUCACUUUUCCCAAUAAAGAAACAGUCUGAGUCCUGUCCAAGUUCGUGCAGUGGCUGUCUGGCACAGUCAUGAUUUGAACCCAUGUCUGACUGACUCCAGAGCCUUUUCUGUUUCCAUAGUAUUGGAGAACCAAAUCCCCAGAAAAGAUAAAAUUGAUUUGAAGAAUCAAUGAAAUCUUGCCUGACUGAAAUUCAGUUUUUCUCCUCGCCCCCAAAUAUAAGAGAUCUUUGUAAUGUACCCAGUUGUGGCUUAGAAUAUUAGUGCUUCCCUUUGCUUGUUGUGUUUCAUUUUUUCAUAUCAUAUAUUCUUAGGUUUCUGUUUGUUCCACCUUCACUAUGAUGAAAUUAACCCCUAUCUCCACUCACAACACUUUAAGAGAUGUUUGUGAGAUAAGUGAGUGAAAGGCUGAAGGAGGUAAGUGUGCAAUAUGAUUUAUGGAAUUCUUUAUUUCUAGACAUUUCAAAGAAAUCAGGGAUUUUCUAAAUUUAGAAAAUGUGUCUGAUUUUCUAUGAUCCAGCAAAGGCACACUUCUUAGGAGUCUACUAUUGCUUUAUUAUGUACCUCACAUGAUUUUGAAUGAUUUUUCAGUAGAUAAGGUUGGUCUCUUGAAAGCUGGUCUCUGCACAUGUCCUUGCCUUACCCUGUCCCUUAUCAAAUUUGUUCUCCAGGUUUUGAUUCUUCCACUCCUGGCCUGACCAUUUUUUUUGAAAUUUUGUUAUUGCUUCCUGUUGGAUGACAUAGACUGUCACUACUGGAAGAGGAAAUUAAAUUGAUCUGACACAAUUUUCUCUUCACACAGCCAGGUUUGAGGGAAGCCAAUGCCCUUUUCUAAAUAAAUACAAAUCAAUUAUUUAAUAACUUACUUUUAUUUCUGCCUACUAUUUCUUUUUUACUCUAUAACUACCUUUUUUUUAGCUUCUAGAAUAUUUCUCCUAAGCUUUUAUAAAUUGAAAGUUGUUCAAAGCAGAAAGUUGUUAGCCCUUCUUUAUAAAUGCCUGUCUCCUUUCUAAAAUUCAUUCACACAGUGCUUUUCUGUGCCGUUUAACUUCCCACCCUUGCUUGUUUUCCCAAAAACCAUCCUUCCUGGAUUCACAAGUUAACUGCUUUAAAUAAAUUUCUCCAUUUAACCUCAUUUAUCCUCCAAUCCAUCAACCCAGUUGUAUACGCUAUCUUCUCUAAGCAUUUAUUUAUUCUCUGUAUGUGUAUACAAUAUUUAUUUUAACAGUACUGUGUAUUUACUUUGAAUUCCCUUCUUAUUGCCCCUGGUUUUUCAACUUCCUUAGGAAUCCUUUUUUUGGUAUUCUUGAUGCCUGGUACAGUUUGCUAUGCACUUUAUAGAUGGGUUGAAAAAUUAACUUUAAUGAACUUAUAUAGUCAUUUUACAUUUUAAUGGAAUAAAUAUUUCUUCUAAUUUUAAGGAAAGUGAAAGAAUUCAGUCACUGAUAAAUGAGCAUUUAUUUUACUGAAAUGAAAAUGGAUUCCAAUAAAAUAUUCUUUAUUGUUUAGCCACACAAGCACUCAAAGGGGGUAAACUCCAUUUUGUUUUCUGAGAUUUGUUUAGUCAUUAUAAAGAGCACCACAAGACUUCCUUUGAAGUGAUGAUUUUCACAAGCAUAGAAAGUCAUUUAUAGUGUUUAAAAAAUAAUCUUAAAAAUACAUAAAACUGCAAACAAGCAGUAAAAAUUUGUUACAAUGCAGGCUCUUUUGAGUACUCAAGAAAGUCUUGAUGUUGGCAUUUGUUUAUAGUUUUGUUUGUUUUUCUAAAAUUACUUCCAAAUUGUCAGUCUUCAGAAGAGCAUGCUGAGGUGUAAUAAUCACACUUCAGGUCUGUUCAUUAAUGCACAAUAUUACGGAAAAUUGUUUUCACUCUUGAAAAUCCCUCCACAGCCAUAAAAGUGCCAAUGAGAUUGUCCCUGCUGUUCCAGCCAGGCCUGCGAGCCUCAGAGUGAGGGGAUAUUUAUAAGAAAAUUCCAGACAUAGCAGUGCUGCCACGCUCCUUAGGACCCAAACUUCCUAGAUUUUGUCUCUUGUACUAAGGAAAAACAAAGAGGCAUGAAAUUGAUAUUGCAAAUUCUCAAAUUACUGUUAGGACUCUUUACAAUGAAGAUACGUGCAUUAUUUUGUAGAGUUAUUAGAUCAGUUUGGAAGAAAAAAAUCGCUUUUCACUCCUCACUGCACUCAGGUGGCUUUCAGUCCCUAUCUCUCUCAGUAUACAGCUCCGGCAUCUCUCCAACAGUGUCCCGAGAAGCCAAUUCUGUUUUCCAGUGGGGGAUUUGGUUUUCUGUAAGAUUAUACUGACAGUUUUUCAUAUGUAGAAAACUCUAUUUUAUUUUUAUGAAAGUAACAAAGACACAGGCAUGGAAAUGACUUGAAUAUAUCUAUGUAUUGAUCUUUUUCAGAUUUUACACUAGAAACAGACCACACUGCUUUCUUUAGCUGCAACUCAAAUAGCUGGAAGGAAAAGAACGUUGUGUAUUUAAGUCUUUCAGUGUCCCUAAUUUGAUUUGGAAUUUAAUUCAGUAGAUUACAUUCUGCAUUUCUCAGAAAACACUUUGCUGGCCUUAUAAGCACUGUACCUUCAUUCUGAGGGCUGAUGCAUCUCAUAAAAUAUUGUUUGAGGAACACCAAAGGAAGCAUUUUGAUCUUUUUAGUUCAGAACCAGCAUAAUAAAAUUAUCUUGUUGUAUUUUAUUUCAAACCUAUAUAAAUAACUAAAGUGUUGAGGGACUAUACAAUCAGUAACAUUAAGUUUAUAUGAGAAGAAUUGAAUUUUCAAAAUCAGAAUUCAAUUUUGAUAUUUUCCCAGCUCCUCCACCUACUCUAUGUACUAAACAUGUCUCCCCACACACUCUGAGAAUGCUGCAUUUAUACAGCUCUGUGCAUAAAAACUAGCAUUUUAGCCUUAAAUGUUAGCUGUAAGCUGGAGCUUCCCAACAGAAACAAAGUAUGACAAGACAUAUAAUUUUGAAUUUUCUAGUACACACAUAUAAAAUUAAUGCUUAAUACAAUACAACAUUUAAUAGCAUACAAUAGUUAAAAUGUAGUGCUAACAAAAUAACAAGUUAUUAAUGUAAUAAUAUUUUAUCCUUCUUUAGUUCUUAAAUUUAGAUCUAAAUUAAUUAAAAUAAAAUAAAUUUAUUUCUUCAGUUUUUCUAGCCACAUUCGAGUUGCUCAGUGAUCAUCCUAGGGAACAAUAGAGUUUUAAGCCUUUGUGGAUGUUACUUGAAGCUCUAGUGAUAUUUUAAUGGUCUUUUUAUAUGUAGUCAUUGUUUAGGAAAAACUAUCAAUGAUAAAACAAACACAAAGUCCUUUUUAUAAAUCUACUGGAAACCUGCAUGUAUAAAAGGCUUUGUUCUGCUGAACUGAUUUCUAAUGAGGUUUGAUUUUACACGUGUGUGCUACAAGUGUUGAUGGGAGCAAAGCCAUUAGAUCAAUUUAUGACUUUGUAAGAAGAUAACCAUUUCCCACUUUUAAUCCCAUUACAAAGUCCUAGUAACACCAAGCCUUUGUAUAUAUCCAAAAUCAUGAGCUUGAUAAUGUGGGAUGUCAAAGAGGGGUAAUGAUUAAUUCAUAAAAAUAAAAGUCUUGCUAUUUCAACCUUUUGACAGCUUAUAUAAAAUAUGCAACUUUAAAACUAGGUAGAAUUUUUUUAAAUAUUUAUUUUCUCCCAUUUUGUCUUUUCUCAGAGGAGGAACAUGAGUGUUUUUCUAGUUCCUCUUUUCCUGAAAUAAGAAAAGGGAUACAUCUGUAAUCAUCAAAGACUUACUAAUAUACUAGGAUACAGUGCUCAGAGAAAAAUAAGCCUUUAAAAUGUCAUGCUUGGAUUCUGUAUGAGAAUAUUCAUACAAUCUUUAAGCUUCAGUCAGACAAUUUACUGAACCCUUGCAGCCUCCCUUGUGUGAGGUAUUUUCCAUGCUGAGUGAUAGCAGUGGGCCACGUGAAGUAAUAGUUUCUCAUUCACUUGGGGCUUAUAUAACAUCUUUUGCUCCAAACUAAUGGAAAUGAAAAGAAUGUGAAUGAGCUAAAAAAAAAAAAAAGUGAAAGGGAAAGUUGUGAUUAAUUCUUUGGAUAUAAAUACUGCAUGGCAUACUCAGUGAAUUAGGUUGGUAUGAAGACAUUUUCCCUCCAAGAAACAAUGUGGCAAAAACACAAUUCUGCCUUUUUUUGUAUUUUUGAACAUUUCCAUAUUUCACUGUAAAGACUUGGAUUCUAGAUGGUGUUGCCAUAAGAACAGGCACUACUGGAGAUGCACAUUCCUGUAAAAAAAAUAAUAAUAAUCACCUCUCUCAGUGGUGAAGCAAUCAACAAAGAAAAACUCCAUCAGCAAACCUCAAGCAUAUGGCUGAAGAGGAGUGAAAAGAAGUAGGGAAAUUUUUUCUGGAAAAUAUGAAUGCAUGCUAUCUGAUCACCUGUUUAAGGUGCCUGUGUGUGUGUGCCCUUCCUCAGCGAGCUGCCACCCUCAUUCAUGGCCUCACUGAAGGGAUGUGCUUGAUGACCACCUCUGCACUGUCAGUCUGUCCCCUGGAUGCUACUAAGCAAACCAGUGUUAGCGGAGCUGACCCGGGGACAGCUCCAAAAAUUCCCUUCAGAAUUUUAGCUAUGACAUGGCUUUGUAGUGAGAGAACCAACAGGAAACACAUGGCAUUCCCACAAGAGGAUAAUUUGAAGGGGGUUUAUAUAUAGAUUAAUUACAAAGGUGUGGGCAAGGUGUAAAGAAACCACAAGGAAUAACUCAGGGUCCUCGGGCUAGCAGGAGGUAGGAGGAGCAGCAGGAGCUUAAAGCUGUCAUUACCUCUAGGCUCAAAGGCAUGUGAGAAGGGAAAGGUGACUGAAACUUCAAAGGUGAAAGCCACGAAGACAGAAGCACAGAAGCGGAGAACUUCUGUUGACAGAGACAGCAACCUGAGGAAGUCUCACAGGAAGGCACCAGACACAUAAAUACCCCCUCCUCAUUCUCCUCCCUCCCUCCUGUUACCUGUCAGGGCUCCCCAUUGACCAAAUCCAACUGGAUGGCAAACAAGGAGUCUUUUGAAGUAAUCAAUUCAAUUCACAGGAUAGAAAAGGGUGGAGAGUGGAUCUGGAGGAGCAGAGCAAAAAUAUUUCACAUGUACUGUAGCAAAAAAGGGAGUAAGUAGUGGGCCAUAACUUUGUAUCAUUUUACACCAAAUUCAGUGCUGAGGGAGCUGGAAUCAUGAGUGCCCAGAGGAACCAAUCUGUAAAGAGGAUAUAAAGCUCACAAUGUCGAGCCCUGUGUCUGUUAAUGCAAACCUACUGCAGAAACAAGUAAAUUCUUCAAUUUCAGUGAUUUGACUCAAUCAUGCAGCCCAAUGCAGGUAUGCCUGGAUGGUAGGAGGCUUUUUCCUUGCUGAAUGACUUAGGGAUACAGGCCCUUUCCAUCUUGUGACUUAACUCACUAGUGCUUUAGAGUCCUCCUCUUCCAACUUGCAAGUGACACAGCCCCGAGGUAACAUAUAUAUUACAGGUAAUACAGGAGAGAGAAUAAAAAACACCACUCACUUAUUAAGAACCCCGGUCUAGAAGUGACAUGCAUCACUUGUGCUUAUAUUCCAUCAAAAGAGCUAAUCACAUGUUGUAUACCUGAAUAUAGAGAGCUGCAGGUAUGCUGGCUGGAGCGGUAGGUGACUCCUAGCAUGGGCUCUACACAUCAAAAGCAGAGCUGGGAGGUUUUAGUGGACAGCUGAUCACUUCUGCUAGACCUGGAUGGAUUUCCAUAUCAUGGUCCAUUUUCCAGGAAGUCCUCACUCUACCUUGUCAUAUGCCAUCUCUGUCACAGCCACCCCUCUCCCCAUGUGAGUGACCGUGAGAUAUAUCAGUUCUAGCACCCAAAACCCUUUACAAAGCCAUGUUCACUUAGGAUCGGCAACACAAUAUAACCAAAAAAAGUCAUCUACUUAUGUUUUCAAGGUUCUAGAAGGUUUAAAUUUGCCAUUCAAAAAUGUUUGCAAUAUCAUAUUUGAAGCUGUAAGUAUGAUAUCAUUGAUCACCAAUUAUAUCCUUACUGACCUGUGGCAAACUUCUUCUUAAAAACCUCAAUUUUUCUAGCCAAAACUGCAUGGAUUAGAAAUUGCAGAGAUUGUUUGACAUUUAUUUCUUAAUUAAAAUUAACAAAAAUUGUGUUUACUUAUCAUGUGAAACAUGUUGUUCUUUAUAGCUUUUUAAUUCCCUUGCUAGUUAGCAGCAACUCAACCUGACACAAGUAAUACUACUAAAAGUAUUUGAUUCAAACCAAUCUUCAUUGCAGAAAAUUUGUUGGCAUCACAUAGUUAACAUUGUGAAUGUACUGACUUCACUGUUGAAAAUACUCAUUUCUUUCCUUGCUUUAUUUUGGAAGUUGUCUACAUUCAAGAGAAUGAAAAAAAUAGAGAAUAUCUGCCAACUAUCCUAUAAAUUAUAUCAAGAUUUUAAAAAAGAGAUUUCAAAGUACGAAAUUGCAGCUGUUUCACCACUUCUGCCAGAAUUGGACCUAACUUAGCUCAUGAGUAAGAGCGGGCUUAGCAGUUCCAAAAGCAUUUGUACUGGGAAGCAAGUCUUUUGUGGUGGUUUUUCUUUUUCUUUUUUUCUUUCUUUCUCUUUCCUCCCACCAAAAAGGAUAGUGCAAUACCACCAGAACCAACAGAAAACUACAGGGAUUUGGUCUGAAUUCUGAAAAUACAGGUUUUUCAACAGACAUUUUCCUUUUUUUCCUCAAAUUGUCAAACUAAACAUACAUCUAUGAGAAUCUACAUAACAGACACUCGCCACACAAUCCAUAAUGGAGAAGCGGAAAACAAACACAAAACACUGUGGAAGGCACAUUUUAUUUGAAGAAACAAACAGAAACAGAAUCCACAAGACACAGGGGAACAGGAUGAAAAAGGAGUUGUUAAGGCUGGCGUCAGCUCUGGUUCGUGUCCUCUUCCUCAUCUUCAUCCUCAUCCUCAUCCUUAGUUAUAAAUUACUUCUUGUUCAGCAUCUAGAAGCCACAGGACACUGUAUAAAACCUCUGGAGUGGAGGAAUCCAGAAGGGAGAGAAAUACACAGCAGCAGGACCCUCCUCCUACUAGGAGGCUGUGCCACCCUGAGGUGCUAUCUCUGAGUGCCCCCACUCACAACCACAGCCAAACUCAUAGGCAGAGACUCUAGAGGAAAAUGUGAUAUUGGCUCUUCCUCCUCUCUGCACAGCCUAUUCUCAGGAAAAGUUCAAAUUCAGCCAGAGGCCACUUAGCUCAGAAACUCAACUCUGGCACAGAACUGAGAAACGAAACACACACAAACAUGGUAUCUAAAUAGCCAAAAUAGAUGUUGCAAAGGCCAGGAACUGAUGUUCAGGAACUUGACUGAUAGUAUGGUUCCUUGGGCCCUCAACUAAGAGCCAUAACAAAGCCAGGUUCUCUGGUCUUUAGCCCACUGCUGGUUUUAAGUGGUGAAUUAAAGCACAAAAGAGGAAUACAGAGAGAAAGGCUGGGAGAGGAAGAAAACAGGGAAAGUAGUUAGAGAUAGACACACUAAUGUGCAAGAAAUAACCUACUGCCUAGCAGUAAGGGAGAAGAUAGAACAAACUAUUCACAGGAAAAGAACCAGGAAAACAAUGUGAGGUCUUUGGUGGAAGAACUGGCCUACCCAAGCCUGUCAACCCAGCAGAGGUCUCUGGGAACGGCACAGGAGGGUAAUUCCAUUCAAAAGGACCCCACUCAGUCUGCCAGUGCUGCACAGGAUUCCUUGCCAUUCGAGGAGACAUGCAAGAAAAGCACAUAUCUGGGAAGUCCUGACUGUUACUAAUGUUUUAAUGCUACAAAUUUCCCCUAUUGGAAGGCAAACUUCUAUGAGAAUGUCAAUGUCAUAGUGUAGCAGAGUUUAACACCUGAAUGUCCACGGCAACAUGGGCACUCCUGAAUUUUAUUUAGCAUGAAUUAUAUUUACACUUUUUGCUCUUUUAAACUCAAUAAUAAGCAGUUACUUGUGAAGUGAGAGAUUGAAACUCCGGUUUAAAUCUAACCUCCCCACCUAGAUUUUAUGUGGAUUAGCUGACUGAGAAUGAGGGAUGCUCCAUUAGAUAAAACCAGAACUCAUCCCAGCAAAUUCUGAAGAAGUUUAACCCUAAUGUAUUUAUUCACUAUGAAUUCCUCACUUGGGCCCCAUUUCAAAUGAAUGCCUUAUGUUUAGCUCUGAUAUUUUAUGGAAAGUAGGUUACCUCCAAUACCCAAUUAUCUAGAUCUUAAUUUGUAAAAAUAGAAUUAUUUUUAAAAGCUAAUUUUGCCUUAAAACGCAAAGUUACCCUUAGGUAAGAGUUGUAGUCAGGACAGCAUUUUAUAAAAUUAAAUGACGAACUGUCUUAUAGUGGUUUGCCACCUGCCAAAGUACCUGCUUGUAAUAAUGUCAAAAUUCUUAGUUGUCUUUUAUUAAACAUUUGGUUAACUAGUAAAGCAUAGUUUCCUGUAUAAGUUCUUUGGACAGGUUAGUCCUGCUCCUGGGUGAGAUUAAUUCAGGCAUCACUUCUGUUUCUAAUGUACCAAGUUAUUUUAAAAUUAUUUUUAACAUGUUAUUUAAUGAUAAUGAUGAAACCCCACCCUUCCACAGGGACUCUUUGGAGCAUGGGUUUAUAACAUAAUGGAAUAUUCAUUAUUGAAAGAAUUUAUUUGAGAGAAAGAGAUGUUGAAAGAAUAAAAGGAAAUUACAGAUCUCAUUGUUAUUGGGGCUCACAGUGCUCCCCAGGCACACAGUGGGCACAGUUAAUUAAAAGCUGACCUUUUUUAAGGGCUCCAGAGGUAAAUAUCAAUGUCAGGUGGGUGAUGUUCAGGUAACAAUAUCCCGUUUUUCCUAAAUAAAAGACGGGUUCAGUGAAACAGUUUUACUGGUCAUUCACUGAACUAGAGAUGAAUUUAUAAUACAACUUCUGAAAGACUCCAGGGAAAUCUACUUCCUUUAGCCUGAUACUUUCUACCUCCAAGUUGAUAAUUUUUAUUUUUUUAUUUUCCAUUAUAAAUCUAUAAUAUAAGGAAAUUACAAUUACAGAGUUAAAAAAACUGAAAUUACAGGACACCAUAAGAUGACAAUAUAUAUAUAUGUGUGUGUGUAAAAAAGCUCUCAAUGUUAAAAAUGAUAUACAGGUAAGCUUGUGAUUACUGUUUCUUUGUCACUUUUGGGUCCUAUCCACUUAUGAUGUGCUUUUGAAAACUGGCCUCAUUUGAAACUGAUAAAUAUGGAUCCAAAUCUUGGUGACCUAUAAGGUCAAUCUUGACAUAAAAAUAAAAGCUUCCUUGAAGAUUUCCUCAACUAUGAUAAACAUAAGCAUAUUUUCUUCUUUUGUAGCCAAAUUUAUUACCUUCAUUCCUCAAUUUCUUUGUAGCAUAAGUAUUUAUGCUUAUAAAUACAAAAAAAUCACUCAGUCUUUUUUUUGGUAUUAUCGAUAAGCUUCCUUAUCAGUGCUAAAUAAACCAUACAACAGGCAUAUGUGACCCAUUAAAAUAAAAUGGAAUAAUCUCUCAGGUGUCCAGACACUCCACGGUCUCUACUGUUCUCCCUUGCUGGGCCCUGGCUCAUGGUCUCUGCUGCACAAUUAGUUUCUGUGAAGUGUCUCAGUUCCCAUAGCCAGUGAGUGGGUUCUGGCAGGUUUGGCCACAUUAGAAUCCCCUGUUCUUGAAAUCUUUAACAGAGACUGGAAUCUAAGAACUUCACAAUAGGGCCGGGGAUUUAGCUCAGUGGUUUCGCCGUCUGCUGUGCAAACGCAAGGACCGGAGUUCCAUUUUCGGUACCAAAAAAAAAAAAAAAAAAAAAAAAGAAAAAGAAAAAGAAAAAAGAAAAAAAAAGGACUUCACAACGAAUGAGAUUCAGCAGGUAAGAAUGGUGGUUCUCUGUUCACCAGGAAACAGAGACUAUUGGUGAGGGCUAGAGAAACUUGUUGACCCAAGGAGGUAUGUGGGAAAGAUCACAGAGAGAAAAAGCGCAAGUAACUUUUUCUUGGAGUGGUCAAAACUUUUAAAACUGUAAUUAUUUUGGGAAUGUAGAUAAACUAUAUUUGUUCUGACUAUGGCCAGUGUAAUAUUUACAGAAGUUGAUUUAGCUCUAUUAUCUUUACCCUGAUAGAAGUUUUGUCUUUCUUUCAUUUCCCAAGUAUAAGUUGGUUUCCUGCUAAUUAACCUCUUUAAUGAACAUCCUAGGACAGUGUACUUCGGAGAAGGUAGGUUAGGAAGGUCACAGUGUGAGGCCAUUUGUCAGCAUUAAAUAUGAAGUUGAUUAAAUAUAUGUAUGUGUCUAUAUAUGUUAUAUUCAAAGAGUGGCAGCUCUAUAACCUGAUAUUAAGCAUAAUUUUAUAAUGUGACAUGUAUCUUACAAAGCAAAAUAAUUGAAAGGCAUGCUAGUCAAGCUUUUGUUUAAUUGAGACCAGUUUAUGCUUGGAGCAUUUAAAUUAUACAGCUAUGCUAAUUAGUCUAUUUUAUUACUUAUGGUUUAAUAUUAUUAGAUUUAGGUUGUAAUCUCUAAUGAUCAUUUACUUGUUAACUAGCAUGUUGUCAUUAAAAUAAAUUUUAGAAUUAUAUUGUUAGUGUACUUAGUUAUUAUCCCAUAAGUAACAUAAACAACUGGAAGAACUUGUGCCAGAUGGUAAGACAAACUCUCUUAUCAUAAUUCAUUUUAUAAUAUCAAUUUUUAUGUGGAUCCUAAAUACCAGAAACACCAUAUGUCUUGUAAAAGCAUAAAAUGUACAAAACUACAGCUAUUUCCUCAUACUAAUGAGAGACAUGUAAGUAAAUGUUUAUUAUAACAAUAUGUGGUUGGCAAGUGAUGAACCAUUUAUAGGCUAUUCAAGUGUACUGUUAAAGUGUGAAUUAUAAAAUGUACAGUUGCAGAAUAGCAGCCUUUAAAUCUCCUUGGGUUGUGAAAGGAACUGCAAUUAGAUGUGUCUAGGAUCAGAUGAAAUUACUUAAAAUAUAAUCACCCUAUCUGAGUUGAUCUGAUAUUUCAGGAAGAUAAUGUUUUUGAACCUCUGUUUAAAAACAUGUUCAAAAUUACAUGGCACAGAAGAUUUUCCUUGCUUUUGUGGCCUUGCCAAGAUGUUGUCACUUUAUCUGUAGUAAUUAUCUAAGCUGAUUGAGCACUCAAGAUUACCUAUUUCUUCAAAUUAUAAACAGUUUUAUAAUAACAUAGAGAAAUUUAUUGGUCUCCUUUACAGUAUUAUAAAUGAUAAGCUUCACCAUAGCCCCGCCCACUGACACCUAUUCAAGACACAGAAUUUAAAUAGGCAGAAGACAUCUUAGUUUUUGCCUAGUAUAGGUUUCUAUUUUCUUUUGUAAAGAGUGAAAUGACUAAGAACAAUAAAGAAAAAUGUCUUUCUUUUUGGAAAUUUUUAGAAUAAUUUGAUACGCAGCCAAAUAUGUAUGACCAUAGCUUUUGAACAUUUGGUAGUCCAUGCUUAGGCGGAGCCAACUCAACAACCCGGGUGGACUUCUUAGCAUUAUUUUAGAGUAUUAAUUGUUGUCCAACCUAGACUGUGAACCCAGCAAGCAGAGAUAAUGGAAUCACAAGUGAACCAAGCUCCUAGGAGCCCUGUUUAGCACAUUUAUUCUACCUUGUUUAGUGCUAGCUACUAACAUUCCCUAUCCCUCAAUUACUUGUUCCUUUCCAGAGGGCAGAGCCUGAGUGUUAUUCAUCUUUGGGUCCCCCCUCCCCAAACUCUUACCAUUGCACCUUUGUAGAUGGGGAUCUCUGUAAACGUUCAGAUGGAAAUGCAUGUGUAGAAUCAUAAGCCAUAUCCUUCCAGUAUAAUUGAAGGCCUCUUGAGCUUUAUCAGUACCACACUGAAACUGUGUGGAUUAUUAUUGCAAUUUAUUCUGAAGUAAAAAUACUCAUAACUAACUUUUCAAAAAAAAUUCCAUUUACUCUCAUCAGGUACUUAAGAUGAGAACAGUAAAGGUAUAGACACAGAGAAGUGUUAGAAAGAACCCUUUCCCCCCAGCACUUGUGAAAGAAAAUUGAAAUAAUCUCUUCAGAAUCAAUAAGCUCACCCCCUACCAUCUGGUGUGGUCUUUCUGCAGGGAUGAUAAACAUAGAGGCCCCAUGGGUUAUCCUUUCAGAGAGAGAUGUUAUUUCUUCUGUUGGAAGUUCAUUUUUCAGAGCACAGGAAACAAAGAUACAUGGUGGGAAUUUUUUUUCUUAAGGCUGUGCUUUCUAGGGCCUUUUCCCAAAGUUGGUGAGGUAGGUGUGUACAUCUAAUUUUCAAAACCUCAAACAUGUCUUUGCGUGCUCAGUCUGACUUUGGCCAAGCUCAUUCAAUGACUGAGAAAGCAAACAUGCUCUAUAGGAAUAACAUCUUAUUUCGGUAAGAUAGGCUAAUUACAGUGAGUUCAAAUCUUUAUUUAAUCUUCCUACAGUUAUCCUUUUAAUGUGUUCUGUAAUUGCAAACCUUUGGUCUGUUAAUCUCUGAUUCAUUAGUGGGCUUCUCAAGUGUUUAUUAAGGAGUGUGGGUAAUAUUCUGGUAAUUACUAAUAAUCUUUGUUCAUAGCACAUUUACAAAGAUCUCUGCAGGGAGUUCCAUUAGGUUCAUCACCACUUAUCCGCAUACAACUUUUAUUAGCAGCCUCUCACCCUUAUAAAAUAUGGAACUUGAGGGAUUUCAAAAAUAAAAUGAAGUGUCUUUUUUCUCUUAUGGCUAAGGGACUCAAAUAUUAACUCUGAGUAUUGUUCUUCCUCCAAAAUAAAAUUCUCUUCUGCUGUCUGGUGUUCUCUUUUACCAGUGAGGAGAAAGGCAGAGGGGUUUGAUGAUGUAUCUCACUAGUUCAUGCUGAGUCCGUGGCCACAUUGGCAUUAUAACUGGUGGCUCCCAGUCUAUGUCCUUGGACACAAAGGUGGAGUUAUGAUGCAGCCAAAUCCAUUAUGCUGCAUAAAAUUCCACUGAGGGGUGGGGUGGGAGUGAAUGUAACUUAGAAUUGUCUUUGGUGGUAAGGAACCUUGAAUCUCCAUCCUAAACAAAACCAAACUUGCCACCUCUUUUUUGAUACCUGAAAUCCUUUUAACAGAGGAAAAGCUUAGACAGACAAAUAUGAAAGUGAAAGUGGCAGUAAAGAUGAAUGAUUGGUGUGAAUGCUUUCUGAAAGCAGGGUUGAAGAAGGCGAGGUAGGAGAAAGCCCAAAACUGUUGAAUGAGAAAUGAUCCAGAGACAGAAGACACCAGAAAUAAACUGCAGUACUGAUAUGUUUAGUAUUGGUGGCAAUGCCAAAGGAGUGGUUUGCAAUGACUUUUUUCCCCCAGUGCACACCAGGUAAUCAUCUGAUUUGAUUUAAAAGCUGAAGGAUGGUAUACAAAUAUAGCUUAAGGACAAAUCCCAUCACCUACCCCAGUCUGGCUCUUUGCAACUAAUUGCUACCUACUCAUAUGAAGAUACAAAUACAUGAAUUUUAUAAUCAUAUAAAAAUGUGAGUAAAUAAAUUAUAUAUAUAUAUAUAUAUUUACUCAUAUACACACAUUCUGAAACUUUCAGUUCUUUGGAAAUAAAGGCACUUCUUAAAUUUGACAUUUUGGAAUUUUCAAAUACCUUGUCAUAAAGUUUUUAAUGGCAGCAAAGCCAUUGUAUUUCUUGCACACAUCUUUCCUACAGCAAUGUCUUCAGCAGUCCACAGAUAAGUUGAAGUUGCUUAUCUAACUAUGCUGAGAAGCCACAGACAAGUUUAAAAUGGGUUUCAGUGAGCACACAAUUGGGUGAGCAGGAUACGCUAUAAUCAAGAUCCUGAUACAUCUACAGGAAAAAAAAGAUGUAAUGAGUGAAAACAUUUUUUACUUUACAAAAUAUAUUUUUGCAUUGGGUCAUGAACAGGAAGAAGCCCUUCCUGGUCCUGAUGGUCACCACAACAACUUGCUUAAUAUUUAUGGUGUGGCACAGUGCUAUGCAGGCGGACACUGUGGCAGACUGCUUCACUGGAUGCUUUGCAGUGUAGCCCAAGGUUCAAUGGAGUCACCCUCCUUUCCCUUGUGUUUGAUUCUGACUAGAUAUCAGGCCCUGAAUAUUUCUUGGGCAUGACUCUACUGUUUAGUUUGUCUGUUUGGCAGCAAAUUUUCAUUCUAAUAAAAUAAGUUACUCAGAUGGAGAUUCCUGAUGUGUCCGAGCUGCUAUUAUUAGGACAAUGGAGAGGCCCAGCCUUUUCUUCUGAAUGCAAUCAAGAGUAGUGUGGCUUUGCCUUUGCAGUUUUACAAAGAGUUCUAUUACGUAACUGGGAAACUGUUUCCCUCAGCGUAGGAUUUGUUAGCACAGAAUGCAGCUUGGAAAACACUGAUGUAAAGCUUCAGUCCAGGAGAGAAAUCUUUUAAGUUGCUGAAAUGUAGUGGAAAGGAAGAAGAAAAUUGCUCUUUCACCAUUAUUGACCAAAAUGCACUGUAAUUAUAUCUACUUGAAACAGAUUCCUUAGAAGAACUGAUAACUCUGUGAUCAGAAUAAGUCAUGUGUAAUGGAACUAAAUGCUGCACAUACUUUUGCUCUGCAAAGUGUAGACAUGCUAUGUGUGAGAUUCACAGUAGAAGAAACACUGCUUGCCUUCACCUGCUUAAUGGCCCUUCCAACUGCUUUAACAUAGCAAGGACUGUUCGGGAGGCUUUACUGAGGCAUUAGUGUUUGACAUGCCUGUCUGUCCUUUUGCAUUGCUCAUCCAGAGAAGUUUGUGAACUCUUUUCAUGUAGGUUGGGUUUUUUUGUUUUGUUUUGUUUUCCACUGGGGAUUGAACUCAGCACCUUGCGCUUGUGAGGCAAGUGGCAGAACCACUGAACUAAAUCCCUGGCCCCUCAUGUAGGUAUUUUGAUGUUGCCUUUCUUGUUAGUAAAGAAUACAGCAUCAUUCAUCAGACAGUCAGCUUUUAUAAGAAGUACUCAAAGAUCUCACUGAUUGCCUUUGUUUCCAGUUCUAAAAUGGAUAGGAAACUCAUAUUAACUGAAUGAAUAAUGCGUUGGAAAUAUUAUUUCUUGGAGUCUAAAAACAGAAAGAAACCAUAAUUGAGGAGUGAAGUGUCUAGACUCCCAGGAGCCAGGUUAGUUAGCUAGUUAGUUAUGAAGUAACUAUUCUCUAUAUUCAUGUUUGUGAAAGCAUGGGUAUUGCCUGAACUUGCAGACAUCUUAGAUAAAGCUCAAGUCUCUAAUACCAGCAGAAAAAGAGGGUUAAAGGUCGACUUCCUAGACAUGAGGGUGUGUUUGCUUUGGUCUCUCUGGUGACUCUUCACAUCUAAGACUGGGGCUGCACAACUGUGGCAUAGCCAUCUGGAGGUAGCUGAAGUGCUGGGCUUAUGUGCAGAAGAAGGUUGAAAGUUCUGUAUCGGCCUUUGGCUUUACCUGCCAAGUACCCUUUGCUAACCAGCUGAGUCUUCACCCAGCCUGAGAAAUCAAGCCUGUGCCUUUAGCCAAGUGCUACAACAUCUUCCUGGAGGAAAUAUGGAUAGCCAGGCUCUGUGGUGGAGGAGGGUCUUUUUUCUCAUUUCCCCAUUAGAAAGGGGAGAUUUCCCUCACUGGCCUUUGUCCCUUUCCCACCUGAAAUGCUUCCCCUUGGUUUACUCUUUCUGCCUCUCUGAAUCCCAGGAGGACCAGUUCAAAUCCCCUUUCCUUCCUGAAACCCUCCCUAACUCUCUGAGGAAAACAGUAACCCCCUUCCCUGUGAACACCUGGAUAACCCUACUGCCCAGGCUGCUUGACAUUUUGGAUGUUUUCCCUUAUACUGACAAUUAUUUUUGCUCAUAUUUCUUUUUUAUGCUGCUUCAGAGUGGACAUACUGCCCUGGGAUUUUGUAAAACCUAUUGUGUAUAUGGCAUACAUUAAGAAAAAACUUCAUACUUUGGGAGAAAAGCAUCUAGAAAGGAAUUUGAAGUAAAUAUAUUAACAAAAGAUUGUUACAGGUAUUAUGAAAAACGUCUAUGUGCAUGUAAUACUUUUUUAUAAUGUAUGAGACUGUUUUAAAUAACUCUCUUAAAAGAACAAGUAGAGAAAAGUCUUGGUUUUCUCAACUAGACAUAAGAAAGUGUUUCAUACUCAGCAAUGAAUAUGGGUUAUAAAUAUGCAACUGCAGAGAUGGGAUUGCUUUAUUUGAACUAAAACCAAAGUCAUAUAUUAAAAAUUGUUUUAUAUUUUCCAGUUAUUUUUGUACAAACCUCCAUUGUAUUAUUUUCUGUUUAAUGUUAGUUCAUUUGUAUUCGAAGUACCAAGUUAUCUCAUCUAUAUAUGUUAUAGGCCAAAAAUACCCAAAUAUGGUACAUCUGCCUGACCAUCAACUCUUGUUCUUAGGCUAGACAGAACUUGCUGAGUCUUCUACCAAAAUCAUCUUUAGAUCUGAAACAAUUUAAAUGAGUUAGUUAUUCUGAAUAUGACCUUCUUAUACUCUCUGUGCAAUUUAAAUUUAAGAGUGUAAUUAAUCUAAACUGAUCCAAUACAGGUGGAAAUUUGACCCAAAAAAUCCCUCUAAAGAUGAGUAUUUAUGACUCUUUAAAGUUUGGCAAUUGUAGGUAUAGGAUUGUGGAAAAUUAUUUGCUGUGUGAAAGAUCAAAAGAAUGUGCUGAAUAUAUCAACAAAAAAUUUUAUUUAAGAGAAACAUGACUACCUAACAUGUGCCCCUUUUCUUCAUUUAUGUUGUUUUCACUUGUGAUGCCUUCAUAAUUGUUCUCCAUUCCGUACUCCCACUCUACUCCAUCUCAUCAGCUAAUACUUAUUUAAGGACUUGCAUGUGCCAGGAACUGUGCUCAGAAAUUUACCUCCCACAUUCCUGAACAGAUACUCUCCUGCCCAGAAACUUUUAGCAGCUUUCCACUUUGUAAAACCAAAUGUGAUUCCAGCUUCACUUCUUACCUUUGAUAAAUUUAUUCAAUUAAUUUGCCCAAUGGCCUCAAUCAAAGCAGUAUAUCUACUCUUCUCUGUGAUGUGUAUCAGUCUUCAGCAUAAUUCCCUGAGCCUAGAACAUAUAAAGUACAUUAUUCUUGGAAGUAAUGCUGUGUUCAUAUCACGAAGCCAACAAUAUGAAAAACCUCGUAAAAUAAAUAGUAUUGGCAGCAAUUUUGAAAAGUUAUUUUUUUAAAAAAAGAAACAAGUGAGGGGCUGGGGAUUUAGCUCAGUGGUUCCGCCACCUGCCUCGCAAGUGCAAGGACCCGAGUUCGAUCCCCAGUACAAAAAAAAAAAAAAAGAAAAGAAAAGAAAAGAAACAAGUGAAAUUGUGGUGGGAAACAGAGGAGAGAGAAGAAGGGCCUUAAAUCAGAAUUGGAAUAAGAAUGUAAAACCCAAGAGUAGGCUGAUGAAAUAAACUAGAGAAUGGUGAACAAUUGGGGUUGGGGAGAAAUGAAAGUACUUGUUAUCAGUCUCUUCAGAAACAAACCUUAGGGAAAAUUCAAAAUAAAAAAUUAAGACCUAGUCCUGGAAACAUCCACGUUUGCAAGGUGAGAGUUCUGAGGUAAAUAUUCAUACUCAAAAAGAAGAAGAAAGAGGAGGAGGAGGAGGAACAUUUUAAUUGAACAACAUAAUAAACUGCAUAGUAAUAUGACCCCAACAUACAAUCCCAAUUCUCACUCCAAUUGCAGGCACCUGCCUGCCAGAAUUAAUUCCAGAUUCACAAGCAAUAUCCAAGGUAGGCCAUAUUAGCUCCUCAAUAUUUUUUACCUUUAUGUUAAAUCAUCAUCAAGAAAUACCAAUUAAGAUAGGAUUUAGAGCUACAUAUUUGUUUCAUACACAUCUUCAGAUUUUGAAUUAUAUGUUAAUAUAUGACAUCUGUGUGUGCUUUUCACAAAAGUAAAAAAAUGUAAAUGCCUCAGGAUGCAUCUGCUUGACAAAGUAGCAGAUGAAAAAAAUCCUUUUCUAUAGUUUCUAUUAAAUUCUACAGAAAUAAGGCAAAGAUUAUAUAAGAUAAUCAAGUCAAUAAAAUCUAUAGCAAAGACCAGAACUUUAUAUUAAUCUGAAAAAAAACCCCUGAAUUUCUAAGACUGAAAAAUGGGAAAAAAUCAUUUUGCAAAAUCUUUGACUUGAAUGUUUUUGUUUGUUUUUUAUUUCUAGGUUCCAGAUUCAGAGAAGUACAACUGAUCCAAACAGUUAUAAAAGCUUAGGAGACAGCUUUCGGAGGAUUUUUCGAACAGAAGGGUUCCAGAUUCAGAGAAGUACAACUGAUCCAAACAGUUAUAAAAGCUUAGGAGACAGCUUUCGGAGGAUUUUUCGAACAGAAGGGUAUGUAUUGUUUUUGAUACAUAGACCCUUUGUUGAGAGAGGCAUGUUAAUGUAUUUGUGCAAAACAUAUUUUCUCAUUUUCCAUAGUUUAUUUUCCUAGCUUUAUUGGGAAAACACUUAAAAGUGGGCUUUCCAACUUUGUUGUAUUUUUCCUGACAUGAUUAAAAACUGAAUAUGUAUAUAGUAGAAACUUCCACAGAAAAGGUUAUUAAUAGCUUGCUUAAUGAUUAGAGGACAGUUUCCAAUUUAUAUCAUUAAGGUUUUCAAAAGUUCUUAUAACCAAGGCCACCUAAACUUGACAGUUCUUUAUUUUGUACUUAAAAAUAAUCCCCAAAUGCAUUCCUUGUUUGCACACUGGUUUAUAAAUAUGCAAUCAAAACAAAUCUGUGUCAAAAACUGAUGCAUCAAAUCCAUUAUCAUAUCUAUUAGAUCAAUGGUCCCCAGCUUUUUGGGGACUGGUUUUGUGGAAGACACUUUUCCAUAGACUGGGGUGGGUGGGGAAGAGGAGAUUCCAGCACAUGACAUUUAUUGUGCACUUUAUUUCUGUUAUUAUUAUGUUGCAGUAUGUAGUGAAAUAAUUACCAUAAUGCAGGGGACUGUUGGUACUUUCUUUUAAAUGUAGCUUUUUUUCCCCAGUCUUAGAUUCUCCCACUGUAUCAUCAUUGGGUCUUUCCCCCUUUUCAGAGAAGCUCUCUGGUUAUGUAAUAUAUUUGCAUUCAAAAAUUAUUUUCAUAAGAGAAUUGCUUAAAAAUAACUAUUGAACAUCUUACAAUAAUGAUAAUUAAUAUAUAUUUAGACUCUAUUAUAUACUUAGAAUUCUCCUUACAACUCUGCAAGGUAGGUUCCACUCCAGUUGGACAGAAUUCAAAAAAAUGUAGAGAAGUUAGUAAAUUUCACAUGUUUGUAAGUAGAGGAGCUGGACCUCAAAUCCGUAUCAGCUUGACCCUCUGUAGUUCAUUACCUCUCUUGACAGAUUAUACUAUAAAAACUAUUUUACUAAUAAUUUAUUUUAGUCAAACCUACAUCAGUAAUAUCUUUUCAGGCCAAUAUAUCCUUAAAAACAGCUAUAUGCUACAAUUUAUUAAAUUAAUUCCUUAGGUGAAUCUUAAUUUUUUUCAGAUUUUUGCUAUUAUAAAUAAUAGUGCAAUAAAUAUUCUUAUACAGUCA
ensembl:lncRNA